GACAGAGGGGGCAAGCGUUGCUCGGAAUUACUGGGCGUAAAGGGCGCGUAGGCGGGAUGGUAAGUCGGUCGUGAAAUCCCUCGGCUCAACCGAGGAACGUCGAUCGAUACUACCGUUCUUGAGGAUUGCAGAGGAGACUGGAAUUCCCGGUGUAGCGGUGAAAUGUGUAGAGAUCGGGAGGAACACCGGUGGCGAAGGCGGUUCUCUGGGCCUGUGCUGACGCUGAGGAGCGAGAGCGUGGGGAGCGAACAGG
rnacentral:rRNA from 1 species